rnacentral:misc_RNA from 1 species
CCACCCUCAGGCCCUGCCUGGUGUUGGGGAUCUGCGUCUGCAGCCCCUGAAAGACAGCGGCGGUCCCGACUUCAGGUCCCGAGCGUAGUACUAUACGUCGCUACGGGCGCCUGGCGGGCUCCGGCCGUAAGCCUAUUUUUAUCAA